UCCCUGGUGGCUUAGAUGGUAAAGCAUCUGCCUACAGUGCAGAAGACCCAGGUUCGAUCCCUGGGUUGGGAA
rfam:TPA: Bos taurus chromosome 7, whole genome shotgun sequence.